rnacentral:rRNA from 1 species
AUUGAACGCUGGCGGCAGGCCUAACACAUGCAAGUCGACCGAGUGGCGGACGGGUGAUUAAUGUCUGGGAAACUGCCUGAUGGAGGGGGAUAACUACUGUAAACGGUAGCUAAUACCGCAUACCAUCGGAUGUGCCCAGAUGGGAUUAGCUAGUAGGUGGGGUAAAGGCUCACCUAGGCGACGAUCCCUAGCUGGUCUGAGAGGAUGACCAGCCACACUGGAACUGAGAAACGGUCCAGACUCCUACGGGAGGCAGCAGUGGGGAAUAUUGCACAAUGGGCGCAAGCCUGAUCCAGCCAUGCCGCGUGGGUGAAGAAGGUCUUCGGAUUGUAAAGCACGUUAAGUUGGGAGGCGUUACCAACAGAAUAAGCACCGGCUAACUUCGUGCCAGCAGCCGCGGUAAUUC